AUACUUAAGCUAGAAUAUGCAAAAACCCAUUAUUCUAGAAUUGACGUCAUACAAAUUUCAAUCAAACACCAAACCAGCUGCCUUCAUAGUAAACAAGACCAUACACUAGCAAUAUCACUUUGAUCUGCACAAUCUAAGCCUAAAUAUCCAUCAACAAUGGCAAAAUAGCUCAAACUUUAACCUUUCUUCCUCCAAACCUAGCAACCCAGUCAGCUUAAAAAUGAAAGGACACAAAAUUAAUCAAGAACCAAAUGCAAAUAAAAAUAGCACAAUAUCCAUAAGCCAAUACCACAAAUCUACCAAAUGAAACAAAAACCCAAUUCCAACAAUACCCACCCAGUAUACAAUAUCAAGCUAAAUUAAUAUAAAAAAAAAAUCACCUAAAGCCUCCAAAUCCAAAAGCAAAAGCGCAAUGAUUUAUCACAAAUCAAAACUA
rnacentral:misc_RNA from 1 species